rnacentral:rRNA from 1 species
UACGUAGGGGGCUAGCGUUGUCCGGAAUCAUUGGGCGUAAAGAGCGUGUAGGCGGCUUGGAAGGUCAGCUGUGAAAACUCGAGGCUCAACCUCGAGACGUCGGUUGAAACCACCUGGCUAGAGUCCGGAAGAGGAGAGUGGAAUUCCCGGUGUAGCGGUGAAAUGCGCAGAUAUCGGGAAGAACACCCGUGGCGAAGGCGGCUCUCUGGGACGGUACUGACGCUGAGACGCGAAAGCGUGGGGAGCGAACAGG